GUAUCUUCGGAUAUGAGUAGAGCGGCGGACGGGUGAGUAACGCGUAGGAAUCUACCUAGUAGAAGGGGAUAGCCCGGGGAAACCCGGAUUAAUACCGUAUACCUCCUUCGGGAGAAAGAAGGCCUCUCUUUGAAGCUUUCGCUAUUAGAUGAGCCUGCGUAAGAUUAGCUUGUUGGUGAGGUAAAGGCUCACCAAGGCGACGAUCUUUAGCUGGUCUGAGAGGACGAUCAGCCACAUUGGGACUGAGACACGGCCCAGACUCCUACGGGAGGCAGCAGUGGGGAAUAUUGGACAAUGGGCGCAAGCCUGAUCCAGCCAUACCGCGUGUGUGAAGAAGGCCUUCGGGUUGUAAAGCACUUUAAGCAGGGAGAAAAAGUUAUAAGUUAAUACCUUAUAACCGUGAUGUUACCUGCAGAAUAAGCACCGGCUAAUUCCGUGCCAGCAGCCGCGGUAAUACGGAAGGUGCAAGCGUUAAUCGGAAUUACUGGGCGUAAAGCGCGCGUAGGUGGUUUGUUAAGUUGGAUGUGAAAGCCCUGGGCUCAACCUAGGAACUGCAUCCAAAACUAACUCACUAGAGUACGAUAGAGGGAGGUAGAAUUCAUAGUGUAGCGGUGGAAUGCGUAGAUAUUAUGAAGAAUACCAGUGGCGAAGGCGGCCUCCUGGAUCUGUACUGACACUGAGGUGCGAAAGCGUGGGUAGCGAACAGGAUUAGAUACCCUGGUAGUCCACGCCGUAAACGAUGACAACUAGCUGUUGGAAGACAACGUCUUUCAGUGGCGCAGCUAACGUUUUAAGUUGUCCGCCUGGGGGAGUACGGCCGCAAGGCUAAAACUCAAAUGAAUUGACGGGGACCCGCACAAGCGGUGGAGCAUGUGGGUUUAAUUCGAUGCAACGCGAAAAACCUUACCUACUCCUGACAUACUUGGGAACUCUUGUAAU
rnacentral:rRNA from 1 species